CCCUGGAGGGCAUCCCUCGUGUAAUUGACAAAGCGUUGCUGAUUAUAGUAAAUAUAAUUGAUCCAAUUAACAUUCUUGUUAGCGGUGAUGAGUGGGAUCAAGGAUUCAAAUCCUGCCGCAACCUCAUCUCUGGCCUUGAACUCGUUUGGUACCCCCCUUGGUACACCUGUGGCAUCGAUAUAUAUAUGUGGGUCGAAACAACCUCGGACAGGGGUCUCUCUUUUUAUCCUAAAAUAUGUGUGUGAUGAAUCAAGUGGGCCUUGGUGGUUAUCAGAAAUUAUAUGUAUGGACAUGAUAGCUUUGGUCAGAGUGCAUUCUCCCCACCACAGGCCAGUCAUUUUAGAUCUGAGCUGCAUGUCACCACAUAGAUAAUAAAUGUCUCCCACAGACUUAACAUGAUUUACUAAUAGGGCAGUGGGAGGUUCUCAAUAGGUAGUACAGUAACCAGAAGGGAAUUUUUCCACAAAUUUUCCUGUGGCUCCAUGUAUUUUGUAGCAAGUGUAGCUACCUGGGUACACGGUGAUCCCAUCAGGUGGCUUGAUAUUCCCUUGGGUUAUUGGGUAUACCUUUUUCCAUCAUUCACACACAGAUGAGUUUGUUGGUGACUGCGCAUAGAGACUUAGGAAACAUAUUUCAACAUCUGAAGGUAGACUGAUAGGCACUGUACCCAGAUGGGGUCUGGCCUCUCCACAAACAUAACAGUUAGUUUUAUU